AGUUGAAGAUCCUAGAAUGCCAGCAAAACUUACAUAAGGAGGAGAGUAGGCCAGCAUCCCACAGCCUUUCCAAACCUUGCAAGUCUAGUAAGAUUUGCAGCAUACUGUGAUGUCUGUUGCAGCAUCAUUGUGGGUUUUGAUUACCCACUUCCAUCCAUAAUAGCUGAUAAAAUGUCUUGCUGUAGUGUUAGUUUCUCAUUUCAAAAAGACAAGUACUGGAUCUCAAAAUCCCUCAGUUUGUUGAGGUUACCUUCUAGUUUAGUCAUCAACUCCCUCAUGAAUGUACAUAAUGAAUAUAGUUUUGUGAUUGAUGUAGAACUUUGUAUUGUGCUCUGAACAUACAUUAUCGUACUGUGUAAAGAUUUGUGUUCUAAUGUGCAAGCCUUUAUUGUGCUCUGAAUAUACACAAUGCCAGUGUGUGUAUGUUUUGUGACUAAUGUAGAACUCCUAAUUCUGCUCAGAGUUAGUGUGCUUACUAGCAGUUCUAUCUUUUUAGUACCCAUUAUCUUUCUGUCUUGUAAUUGUCUGUUUCAUAUGACAAAAACAACUGUCAGUUAUGACAGCUAAAGUUUGUCUUCAGAUGGCUCUGAGUGCUUGUGAUAUUCCCAAUUUUUUUUCCAUUUCAUCAUGUGUUAUACAAAAGUGAUGUCGAUGAAUCUCUAGUUGUUUAAUUAUUUAGGUUAAAUUAAUUUUAUUGGUACAUCUUGUCUAUACAUUUGUAUAUUGUGAUUUAUUCAUAUAUUUGAAUAUUAAACCUAACAUUGCACUUGAAUAUCAUUGCAUGUCCCUAAUUUAUGUGGAUAUCAUAAUUUGAAUAUUAUCAUAUGACUGGCAUUCCACUUGAAUAUUACCAUAUGUUAAUAAACUUUGAAACCACAGUAUGACCUUGAUUUUAUUGGACAUUGUCAUGUGUCCUUACCUUUAAUGUAACAUUGUAUUGGAUGUUAUUUUAUAUCCUUACAUGUAACUUUGAUAUCGUUAUCACAUGACUUUACAUUUUAUUGGACAUUGUCAUAUGUUCUUACCUUCAACUUACAUUUUAUUGGAUACUACCUACGACCCUCAAAGCAUUUGCUGUAGUUUUCAUGCCCUUCAUUUGAAAUUUCCUUAUUCUAUCAUUUUAACACACACCAUUUAAGCUAUGCUUUCUUGCAGGCAUUAUAUAUUAGUUCAAUAAAUCCUUGUCUAUUAAUUGGUUGUAAUUUUACGUUCAAAGCAUUUCUCUGAAAUUAACUUUUGGGGACUAGCUUCAAAUAUUUUAGUGAAACAAAAGAGCAUUAUAAGGCCCAGCUUAUUUGUAGGUUUGCCACGUUAUUUGGUUAGACUAACUGUAAUGUACUAAUUAACUUAAGCAAGUGAUGUAAUGAUGCAGCUCUUUAUUUACAUUGUUAAGUAGACUGGUUAAAGCAAGGAGGUUCAUGUUUACAAAACUAAAUACAUGUUAAAGACAAAGAGUAACUUAAUGAUGUAACCCCAAGUUUACAUAGUUAAGUAGACUGUAAAUU